ACGGGGAGCACCACAACGGGUGGAGCCUGCGGUUUAAUUGGACCCAACGCCGGGCAGCUCACCGGAUAAGACAGCUGGAUGAUAGUCGGGCUGAAGACUCUACUUGACUAGCUGAGAGGAGGUGCAUGGCCGUCGUCAGUUCGUACUGUGAAGCAUCCUGUUAAGUCAGGCAACGAGCGAGACCCACGCCAACAGUUGCCAGCUCGUCCUCCGGGAUGGUGGGGACACUGUUGGGACCGCCUCUGCUAAAGAGGAGGAAGGAAUGGGCAACGGUAGGUCAGCAUGCCCCGAAUUAUCUGGGCUACACGCGGGCUACAAUGGGUGGGACAAUGGGUAUCGACACCGAAAGGUGAAGGCAAUCUCCUAAACCCAUCCGUAGUUCGGAUUGUGGGCUGCAACUCGCCCACAUGAAGCUGGAAUCUGUAGUAAUCGUGUCUCAAAAUGGCACGGUGAAUAUGUCCCUGCUCCUU
rnacentral:rRNA from 1 species